rnacentral:rRNA from 1 species
CCUACGGGAGGCAGCAGUGGGGAAUAUUGGACAAUGGGCGGAAGCCUGAUCCAGCAACGCCGCGUGAGGGAUGACUGCCUUCGGGUUGUAAACCUCUUUCAGCACAGACGAAGCGAAAGUGACGGUAUGUGCAGAAGAAGCACCGGCCAACUACGUGCCAGCAGCCGCGGUAAUACGUAGGGUGCGAGCGUUGUCCGGAAUUAUUGGGCGUAAAGGGCUCGUAGGCGGUUUGUCGCGUCGGGAGUGAAAACACACAGCUUAACUGUGUGCUUGCUUCCGAUACGGGCAGACUAGAGGUAUGCAGGGGAGAACGGAAUUCCUGGUGUAGCGGUGAAAUGCGCAGAUAUCAGGAGGAACACCGGUGGCGAAGGCGGUUCUCUGGGCAUUACCUGACGCUGAGGAGCGAAAGUGUGGGGAGCGAACAGGAUUAGAUACCCUGGUAGUCCACACCGUAAACGUUGGGCGCUAGGUGUGGGGCCUAUUCCAUGGGUUCCGUGCCGGCNGCUACGCAUAGCGCCCGCCGUCGGAGACGGCCGCGACGACGUAACUACGAAGAAGUAGACGCGUGAGAGUCGCGACGACGACGACGAGGGAGAGG